UGGCCGAUAGCCUGGAAGUGAAUCAUGAGAGGUGAAGAGCAAGAGAUGCCCAGUAUUUGACCAUGGAUUGUGAGAGAGAAGUGUUGACCAUGGUGUACUCGAGGAUAAGAAAAGAAGACUUUUGCUGUAGGGGAGGUGGUCCUUUGUUUGAGGGGAGGAUGUUGGGUACAAACAAAGUCCCACAUAAGAUAACUCCAUUGAUAAGAGGCCUUUUGGAGUGGUGCCAAAAGUAAAUCCGUGAGGGCUUGGCCCAAAGCGGACAAUAUCUUAUCAAUGUGGAGACUUAUGUGUAUGUGUGAGUGUAGAACCCCUC
rnacentral:lncRNA from 1 species